rnacentral:lncRNA from 1 species
AGCUAGCAUUGUAGUAACAAAGUUUGAAUACUACUUGACCAAAAUAAAUAGAAUAUUGUGUGAGGCUCUCUUGAAUUUUAUCACCAUAUUAACGUAUUUUCCCCUUGGAAACAGUUGUUAUUUUUUGAAUUCUGCUGUAUGGGGAAUUCAACUUUAUGAAAAUACAUAGAAGCAUAUAUAUAUACACUAAAUCUAAACAACAACGAUUAAGUAUUAAUACAACAGUUGUCAUGGUAACAAAUAUCGC